AUUGAACGCUGGCGGCAGGCCUAACACAUGCAAGUCGAGCGGAUGAAGGGAGCUUGCUCCUGGAUUCAGCGGCGGACGGGUGAGUAAUGCCCAGGAAUCUGCCUGGUAGUGGGGGAUAACGUCUGGAAACGGGCGCUAAUACCGCAUACGUCCUGAGCGAGAAAGUGGGGGAUCUUCGGACCUCACGCUAUCAGAUGAGCCUAGGUCGGAUUAGCUAGUUGGUGGGGUAAAGGCCUACCAAGCCGACGAUCCGUAACUGGUCUGAGAGGAUGAUCAGUCACCCUGGAGCGGAGACGGCGUCCAGGGGACUACGGGAGGCAGCAGUGUGGAAUAUUGGGCAAUGGGGGGGAGCAUUGUCCAGCGAGGCGACGUGUGUGAAAGAGAUGUUGGGAUCGUGAAGAACGUUAUGUUGUGGGAAAGGGCAGUAGCUUAAGACCUAGCUGUUUUGACGUUACCGGGUAAAGAAGCACCGGCUAACUACGUG
rnacentral:rRNA from 1 species